rnacentral:rRNA from 1 species
UACGAAGGGUGCAAACGUUGCUCGGAAUCACUGGGCGUAAAGCGCACGUAGGCGGCCUUGCAAGUCGGAUGUGAAAUCCCACGGCUCAACCGUGGACGUGCAUCCGAAACUGCUCGGCUCGAGUAUGGAAGAGGGUCGCGGAAUUCCCGGUGUAGAGGUGAAAUUCGUAGAUAUCGGGAGGAACACCAGUGGCGAAGGCGGCGACCUGGGCCAAUACUGACGCUGAGGUGCGAAAGCGUGGGGAGCAAACAGG